rnacentral:rRNA from 1 species
UGGGGAAUAUUGGACAAUGGGCGAAAGCCUGAUCCAGCCAUGCCGCGUGUGUGAAGAAGGCCUUUUGGUUGUAAAGCACUUUAAGCGAGGAGGAGGCUACUUGGAUUAAUACUCUAGGAUAGUGGACGUUACUCGCAGAAUAAGCACCGGCUAACUCUGUGCCAGCAGCCGCGGUAAUACAGAGGGUGCGAGCGUUAAUCGGAUUUACUGGGCGUAAAGCGUGCGUAGGCGGCUUUUUAAGUCGGAUGUGAAAUCCCUGAGCUUAACUUAGGAAGUGCAUUCGAUACUGGGAAGCUAGAGUAUGGGAGAGGAUGGUAGAAUUCCAGGUGUAGCGGUGAAAUGCGUAGAGAUCUGGCGGAAUACCGAUGGCGAAGGCAGCCAUCUGGCCUAAUACUGACGCUGAGGUACGAAAGCAUGGGGAGCAAACAGG